CGGUUUAAGAGAGCUUCCUUCAGUCCACUCAUAGGUGGAUGAAGGGGAUUUGGAUAGCUGCCGACUCAUUCAUUCAAACACAGUAGAAAAUCAUAUAUGUAUUUCUAUACGCUACUGUGAAUGUGUGAAUGAUGCGGGAGGUAAAUUCAUCCCUUUUUAUCUGUGCUUGGACUGAAGGGAGCUCCCUUUUGCCUUU
rnacentral:pre_miRNA from 1 species